CUUAAAAAAAUUUACAAGAAAUUAGCCAUCCCCAUCAAAAAGAGGGCAGGGGGUAUGAACAGACACUUCUCAAAAGAAGACAUUUAUGCAGCCAACAAACACAUGAAA